rnacentral:rRNA from 1 species
AGCGAACGCUGGCGGCAGGCUUAACACAUGCAAGUCGAGCGGGCACUUCGGUGUCAGCGGCAGACGGGUGAGUAACACGUGGGAACGUGCCCUUCGGUUCGGAAUAACUCAGGGUAACUUGAGCUAAUACCGGAUACGCCCUUUGGGGGAAAGGUUUACUGCCGAAGGAUCGGCCCGCGUCUGAUUAGCUAGUUGGUGGGGUAAUGGCCUACCAAGGCGACGAUCA